rnacentral:rRNA from 1 species
AUGACAAUUAAAAGGGGCAAGCUGGGGAGAGCUAGGAAGAUUGCAUAUGAUAUCAUAUAUGGAGAUGAGAUUGCACAAUACAACUUGCUAUGGGACUAUGCAAAUGAGCUGAGGAGAUCAAACCCUGGAAGUACUUUCCUUCUUGGACUGUCAGAAGAGGGACAAUUUCAGAAGUGCUACUUCUCUUUUGAUGCAUGCAAGAGGGGGUUCUUAUGUGCUUGUAGGCCAAUCAUUUUCCUAGAUGGUUGCCACUUAAAGACACAGUAUGGAGGUGUUCUGUUAAGUGCAGUAGGAAUGGACCCCAAUGAUUGCAUUAUUCCUAUUGCACAUGCAGUGCUGCAGAGUGAGGACACCAAAGCUUGGAGGUGGUUUCUAACUGCAUUGAAGCAAGAUUUAGGAAUUGUGAACACUGAGUUAUGGACAAUCAUGUCAGACAAGCAAAAAGUAUGUCUUUAA